rnacentral:tRNA from 1 species
GCCUGCUUAGCCCAGAGGUUAGAGUACCGCACUUGUAAGUAAUAUGAUGGUCAUCGGUUCGACUCCGAUAGCUGGCU